rnacentral:rRNA from 1 species
AGAUUGAACGCUGGCGGCAGGCCUAACACAUGCAAGUCGAGCGGUAGAGAGGUGCUUGCACCUCUUGAGAGCGGCGGACGGGUGAGUAAUGCCUAGGAAUCUGCCUAGUGGUGGGGGAUAACGUUCGGAAACGGACGCUAAUACCGCAUACGUCCUACGGGAGAAAGCGGGGGACCUUCGGGCCUCGCGCCAUUAGAUGAGCCUAGGUCGGAUUAGCUAGUUGGUGAGGUAAUGGCUCACCAAGGCGACGAUCCGUAACUGGUCUGAGAGGAUGAUCAGUCACACUGGAACUGAGACACGGUCCAGACUCCGUACGGGAGGCAGCAGGUGGGAAUAUGGACAAUGGGACGAAAGCCUGAUCCAGCCAUGCCGCGUGUGU